ACAUGAUUACAACAUAGCGUUAAUGUACCAUAUUCCAUUAGAACUCCACAGUUAAGCACACUCAGGCUAGAGUAGUACUAGCAUGGGUGACCGCUCGAAAGUCCUAGUGUUUUACAUGCC
rnacentral:rRNA from 1 species